AGAUGCUUCUGGUGGAUUUCCUCUGUGCUGGUCAGUGUGUGAGUCUGGUCUAGGUGUGGAAAAGGCCUGCUGUAUGUGUGUCCAUCCCCACCGUGCGUGGCUCUUUUUGUGCCUUUGGUCUACCAUGUUUGCUGAGGGACCAGGGGGAGGCAACGGCUUUGUCAUCGAUCUGCCGCAGCUCGGCGGCUCCGCCAGCAGAGAUCAAACCCGCCGGUAAACCUGGGGAUGCCGGCUGUUUGUCACCGUCGACUCACACCAACAGGAACAAGGACGGGAGCGGGAAGAGGAGGGAGGGAGGAGGAGACGGAGUGGGAAUAAGGGACAGCUGUGGUUUUUGCUGGAUAUUUGCACGAAGAUACAGUAAGCACAGACAGUGGAAAGUAGAGACGGAGAACUGGAGACAGACAAACACACAUGGACAGAUGGAGACUUAGAGAAAAGCUGACAAGGGGAGCGAAAGAAAAGAAAUGAGGGAUGGAAGCUGACAGAUGCACAGAUAAACAAACUGUGGGAGUUGGGGGUAAAGGAGCUGGAGGCACCCUGGGGUGUUCAGUGAUCAAAAACCAGUAAACUACAUUGUUGUUAUUCAGUUGGCAUUUCUUCAUGUUUUGCGGGUGGCGAUUUUUAGCUGACUUGCUACAAAGCUUCUUGGCCUUGGAGGCUGCGAGGGAGACCCGGGCAGAGCGGGAGUUUCACCGAUGCUUGAAUCAGCGCGGCGGAGGUUUGUGCUGACAGUCCCUCAGCGAGGCCUCGGCACCCUCUCUUCCAAAGAGCAGGGGGGAUAUCAUUACG